CGGAGGAUCCGAGCGUUAUCCGGAUUUAUUGGGUUUAAAGGGUGCGCAGGCGGCAUGUUAAGUCGGCGGUGAAAUUUUGCAGCUCAACUGUAAAAGAGCCUUCGAAACUGGCAAGCUUGAGUGUGGGUGAAGUAGGCGGAAUUUGUGGUGUAGCGGUGAAAUGCAUAGAUAUCACAAAGAACACCGAUUGCGCAGGCAGCUUACUAAACCAUAACUGACGCUCAUGCACGAAGGCGUGGGGAUCAAACAGGAUU
rnacentral:rRNA from 1 species